CAUCCUGCGAACUUUCUAGAGAUAGAUUGGUGCCUUCGGGAACGCAGUGACAGGUGCUGCAUGGCUGUCGUCAGCUCAUGUCGUGAGAUGUUGGGUUAAGUCCCGUAACGAGCGCAACCCUUGUCCUUAGUUGCCAGCACAUUAUGGUGGGAACUCUAAGGAGACUGCCGGUGACAGACCGGAGGAAGGUGGGGACGACGUCAAGUCAUCAUGGCCCUUACGACCUGGGCUACACACGUGCUACAAUGGCCAGUACAGAGGGCUGCUAACCCGUGAGGGGGCGCUAAUCUCACAAAGCUGGUCGUAGUCCGGAUCGCAGUCUGCAACUCGACUGCGUGAAGUUGGAAUCGCUAGUAAUCGCGAAUCAGAAUGUCGCGGUGAAUACGUUCCCGGGCCUUGUACACACCGCCCGUCACACCAUGGGAGUGGGUUGCAAAAGAAGUAGCUAGGCUAACCUUCGGGGGGCCGGUUACCACUUUGUGAUUCAUGACUGGGGUGAAGUCGUAACAAGGUAGCC
rnacentral:rRNA from 1 species